rnacentral:lncRNA from 1 species
AUAUUUAUAUUUAUAUAUUUUAAUUUUUGAUUUAAUAUCAUGUAAUAAUCAUAUAAUAGGAUCUUAGAUCUAGGGAUUCUCUGAUUUUAGAAAAUAAAUUUUGAUUUAUUUUAGUCUUCCGCUGUAUGAUCUUGAAAAAGUUUCAAGAUCUAACCCUGAAACCCUAGAUCUGGUUCCUACACGAGACACUUAUCAGAAGUGGCUCAACGACCGCACCACCAUACGGUGCAUAAUGCUGGCGGCAAUGAAUGAUGAGUUCAGCCAUAGGUUCAAGAACGUCCAGCCGCAGG